rnacentral:misc_RNA from 1 species
AACACUGUUAACCUGCGGUACCUGCGGAAGGAUCAUUAACAAAGCCGUGGGGGUCACCCUGAAAGGGGCAGAUCUCUCACCUGGCCACCCUUGUUUACUUUAUACCUGUUGCUUUGGUGGGCCCGCUGUAAGGCCGCCGGGGAACCGAGUUUCCAGGCCCGUGCCCACCAAGGCUUUAACUAAAUCUGCAAGGUCUUGUUGCUGUCUGAGUGGUUUAAGGUUAAAAAAAAUAAAAAACUU